CAUAUUUCAUUCGCCAGUAAAAAUUAGCAGCUGCUCUGGCAUUAUUGGCAUUAAUUAUUGACUUUUAUUCGAAGUUUAGCAAUAAUAAAACAAAAUUAAAACUAAUUAUAGUGUGUCAUUAAUAUUCAUCUUUAUUGCAGAAUAAUAAUGAACCAAAUCGCUUCGUUAAAGUUUUGUGUCGAGCGAUAUUCGACAUUUUCAUCGGAGGCAGAUCGUGCAAUCAGGUGCAAUCGAAGCAAAGUCUUUGAUCGAAAGCCUAUCAAAUCAUCAAUGAUAAUAUUUUUCCGGAACGCAAUCCUGAGUUCUAUACGACAACAUGCGUAGUAAGCGCCAUUUGUUACUCAGCUGUGUGGAGGAAGGAGAAAGCUUGCACGAUCUAUGAACUACUAAUUCCUAUCCGGAAAAAGACGUUUUUGCGGGGACAAUUUAAAAAGUCUAGCCCCAUGACUACAACGGAAACCGGAUCUACGGAGGAAGAGCAUCGCUUUCUCAACAGGAUCAUGGACAUUUGCGAGGUAAAGGAAUCGGAUCUAUUUUUAAGGAUCAACAACCACUAACUUUCCCGCAUAGUUGGAUGUCCUCCGCAAAGAUUUAACGUUCUUCACAUAAUCGCUGUGCUUAUUUACAGAAUCAGCUCUUUGAUAAUGCUGGAACUCAAUCGGCAAGCACUUCUUUAUUGUUAGUCUAUGACGUCGUCUAGAAAAACCGAGUUCCGUGCCGCUCGUUGAUGUUCUUUCCCCGGUGGUGAUUCAUCUGAAACCAGUCGGGUAGUUUCGAUUACGUAGCCGCACCUUUCGCCAUGUCAUUUCACAAGAUCGGAAGGUUAUAUUCAAGACGACAUGCUGCACCCGGCUGCUAUUUCCCUCACCAAUUACACGGAUGGCUCGAUCAGGACAACAAAUCAUUACUAUAUAUGAUAGGCAUUACGGCCUCCAAUAGGCGAACAAUGCUAUGUUGGAUGUAUGCCGCUUCAGCUGUAUAAAAAUAACCCAAUUUGUGGGCAUGAAUCGUGAGCAUAAACAUAA